GACGAACGCUGGCGGCGUGCUUAACACAUGCAAGUCGAACGAAGUGGCGAGCGGGUGAGUAAUACGUGGGUAACCUGCCCUCCUUUUUGGGAUAAGCCUUGGAAACGGGUUCUAAUACCUCAUCCAGUGGGAGGGUCACGCGGCCUAUCAGCUUGUUGGUGGGUUGAUGGACUACCAAGGCGGUGCCGGGUAGCCGGCCUGUGAGGGGGACCGGCCACAUUGGGACUGAGAUACGGUCCAGACUCCUACGGGAGGCAGCAGUGGGGAAUAUUGCACAAUGGGCGCAAGCCUGAUGCAGCCAUGCCGCGUGUAUGAAGAAGGCCUUAGGGUUGUAAAGUACUUUCAUCGGGGAGGCGUUACCCGCAGAAGAAGCCCCGGCUAACUCCGUGCCAGCAGCCGCGGUAAUAC
rnacentral:rRNA from 1 species